rnacentral:lncRNA from 1 species
GGGAACUGCAAUUUCUCAAACUUGGAAUUCAGAUUGGACAUCGUCACUCUCCUUUUCUGUUGUACACUGAUUUUUCUGUGGUGCUUGCUUUUUAUCACGGUGCUUGUAGAAAAUCCAGCUUCACAAAGAUUUAGUGUCCAUGAAAGGAAUGUGGUGUGAUCUAAUGUUAAGAGAGUGAGCCACCUUGAGUUAGUAGGUCGUGUGGUAUUCUAGAGGUAGAGAGUAUCAUUGUUCCCUCAUAAUGCAAAAUUGCCCCAGAGCUCCUCUGAGUUCACUGUGGUGCCCUGAGGCAGGAUACUACUUGACUAUCUUGGGAUGAUACAGUGACUGGUACUUUGGCAUCGCUUAUUAACUGGUAUCCUGAAGCCCAGCUUUCCUACCCUGGUUGCAUGUGUCCUUAAAAGCCCUUGCAGGAUAAUACUGCAACAAAAAUACUAUUAAACAGAAUAUACUGUUGAAGAAAUCCAGAAAGUGCAAGACGCUGACUGACGUAGACUGCAUUUCCCAGGCUUCUAGCUGGGUUCAGCAAAGAAGAAGCGAAUGGAUUGGAAGAACACCUCUUGAGGGUAAAAACGGUGGAAUUGGGGCCAUCAGAGACAAUUCAUGGACGUGUUCUGUGUUCCUAAUGAUCGACCUCUUCCGAGGGAUGGGGGAGUUGGUAAGUGGUCUUCUUCUCCCCAAUCACAGGCUAAAUGAAAAGGGCUUCAGAGAACGCAAGUUCUCAAGUUUGGGGGAUAUAGGGACUGACUCAUUUCUGAAAAAGUUCGAAGGUGAGCUGCUGACUUCCAGCUCUCCUGGUGGAGAGGAAAGAGGAAUGACUAUUACAGAGUGAGCUGCAGGUCUACUGACAAGAGGAUAAAGUGUGUGUUUCCCAGGUGCCAGACCUUGAGAACUGGAGCCAGUCAUGAGCUAUCACACAAAGGUCUCUACCCAAAAGGACAGCAGGAAGAGACCAGAGGUGGGCCUCUAAAGUCAGGGGUUGAGAGGGGAAUUGUAAGUGACCAGAUACAGAAAGCCUCACUCACACCAGGGAUGGGGAGGAAAAGCUUACUUGUGGUACUCUCAAAAGUGCCCCAUCAGAGAAAGAGCCAAUGCUUUGCUGUUUGAUACUCGGAAAGCUCUGACAUCAG